rnacentral:misc_RNA from 1 species
GCAAACUUGGUCAUUUAGAGGAAGUAAAAGUCGUAACAAGGUUUCCGUAGGUGAACCUGCGGAAGGAUCAUUAUUAAAAAGUUAAUCCCUUUAAAAAGGAUUCUUUCCUUUGUGAUUUACUGAACAGUUUUGAAUUUGGGCUUUAAAAGAUGUCUCUCUUUCGAGGGACGGCCCAAACUUCUUUACAAAAACCACUCUUUUUCUAUUAUCUUGACUGAAAAUUGAUAAAAAAAAAAUUGAAACAACUUUCAACAACGGAUCUCUUGGUUCUCGCAUCGAUGAAGAACGCAGC